UACAGAGGGUGCUAGCGUUAAUCGGAAUUACUGGGCGUAAAGCGUGUGUAGGUGGUUAGAUAAGUUAGAUGUGAAAUCCCCGGGCUUAACCUGGGCAUUGCGUUUAAGACUGUUUAGCUUGAGUACUGUAGAGGAUAGUGGAAUUUCCAGUGUAGCGGUGAAAUGCGUAGAUAUUCGCAAGAACACCAGUGGCGAAGGCGGCUCACUGGCCCGGUACUGACGCUGAGGUGCGAAAGCGUGGGGAGCAAACAGG
rnacentral:rRNA from 1 species